AUUGAACGCUGGCGGCAUGCCUUACACAUGCAAGUCGAACGGUAACAGGUUAAGCUGACGAGUGGCGAACGGGUGAGUAAUGUAUCGGAACGUGCCCAGUCGUGGGGGAUAACUGCUCGAAAGAGCAGCUAAUACCGCAUACGACCUGAGGGUGAAAGCGGGGGAGCGCAAGACCUCGCGCGAUCGGAGCGGCCGAUAUCAGAUUAGGUAGUUGGUGGGGUAAAGGCCUACCAAGCCUACGAUCUGUAGCUGGUAUGAGAGGACGACCAGCCACGCUGGGACUGAGACACGGCCCAGACUCCUACGGGAGGCAGCAGUGGGGAAUUUUGGACAAUGGACGCAAGUCUGAUCCAGCCAUGCCGCGUGCGGGAAGAAGGCCUUCGGGUUGUAAACCGCUUUUGUCAGGGAAGAAAAGGUUCUGGUUAAUACCUGGGACUCAUGACGGUACCUGGAGAAUAAGCACCGGCUAACUACGUGCCAGCAGCCGCGGUAAUAC
rnacentral:rRNA from 1 species